AGGAGUUUAAGAGAAAGGUAAAGGAACACAAAAGAGAUAUUAAGAAUGCCAGCAUGAAGACAGAAGGCCAAAAAUGCCUAUCAAUAAUCUAGACAUCAAAUGGGAAAACUCCAGAAUAACUAAACAGGUAGCGAACCUUGAGGAAUUACCCGUAGCGGAAACCAUCCAGAUUUAUAAAGGCAGACAGGAAAUGACUGUCAUAAAUAAUAGACAAACUGACUCAAUACAAAAAUCUUGGGAAUAUCUUGGGAUUUUGGCAUACUUCCCCAAGCCAGUUCUUAAAUAGGGAGACUUCCAUUCCUUUAGGACAUUUUGUGUACUAGUUUCUAAUUUUUAAGUGUUAAUUUUUAAAUUUUAGUUUUGUUUUUAUUUAUAUCCUACUAUUGUUCUACUCCAUCCCUGUAUUAAUUGUACC
rnacentral:lncRNA from 1 species